ensembl:lncRNA
AGAUCACAUAGUCUGAUGUAAUCUAUCCAAGCACUUUGGGGAGAGACAUCAUCUGUGUGUGUGUAUGUGUGUGUGUUGAGACGUGCAGGUUGUGCUCAUAGUGGUCUGGCUUGAUCAGCAGUCUGACAGUGACGACAGAAGGCGGGGGGAGCCAGCUUCAUAUGCAUAAUUAUGGUCGUGCUUCCUGAAACACAGCCCCACCCACCGCCGACCUUUCAGCAACCCGAAUACUGAAGAGCUCAGAGAGAAACAUCUGAGAUGAGUUGAUGUUUCAGUGAAACAUACAGCCAGAUAAGAGCUGCCACACACCAGACCACACGGCUCCAUCCGCCGCCCGCCGCUCGCUCAACCAGUGUUUACUUCUGAGGAAAGACAGCAGGCGGAGAGAGGGACGCCAAACAGACGAGUGCGACCUGCAACAGGCAGGUGUGACCUCUCUUUA